AAAAAAAAAGCUGGGCAGUGGUGGCGCACGCCUUUAAUCUCAGCACUUGGGAGGCAGAGGCAGGCAGAUUUCGGAGUUCGAGGCUAGCCUGGUCUACAAAGUGAGUUCCAGGACAGCCAGGGCUACACAGAGAAACCCUGUCUCGAAAACAAACAGUCAAUCAAUCAAUCAAUAAAAAGAACUGGCUUGUUUUUGCUUUGAGAGAGGCAUUUGAACUCAGUGUAAUUAAGGGAGUCCCUGGGUGUGUUUUUGUUUUUAUUGUUGUUGUUUUUGAGACAGGGUCUUUCCGUGUAGCCCUGGCUGUCCUGCAACUUGCUCUGUAGAUCUAGCUGGCCUGGAACUCAGAGCUUCACUUCCCUAAACUUCCCUAGUGCUAGGAUUGCUCUAAAGAUGUGUCGCUGUGGGCUGGUGAGAUGGCUCAGUGAGUAAGAACACCGUCUGUUCUUCCAGAGGUCCUGAGUUCAAAUCCCAGCAACCACAUGGUGGAUCUGUAAUGAGAUCUAAUGCCCUCUUCUGGCACAUCUAAAGACGACUUAUGUAUAAUAAUAAAUCUUUCUUUUCCUUCCUUCCUUCCUUCCUUCCUUC
rnacentral:lncRNA from 1 species